rnacentral:rRNA from 1 species
CCUACGGGAGGCAUCAGUAGGGAAUUUUCGUCAAUGGGCGCAAGCCUGAACGAGCAAUGCCGCGUGAACGAGGAAGGUCUUCGGAUCGUAAAGUUCUGUUGAAGGGGAAAAAGAGCGGAGAGAGGAAAUGAUCUCUGAUUGAUAUUACCCUUCGAGGAAGUCACGGCUAAAUACGUGCCAGCAGCCGCGGUAAUACGUAGGGUGCAAGCGUUAUCCGGAUUUACUGGGUGUAAAGGGAGCGCAGGCGGCACGGCAAGCCUGAUGUGAAAGCCCGCGGCCCAACCGCGGGACUGCAUUUGGAACUACCGGGCUGGAGUGCCGGAGAGGUAGGCGGAAUUCCUAGUGUAGCGGUGAAAUGCGUAGAUAUUAGGAGGAACACCAGUGGCGAAGGCGGCCUACUGGACGGUGACUGACGCUGAGGCUCGAAAGCGUGGGGAGCAAACAGGAUUAGAUACCCCAGUAGUC